AGUGAACGCUGGCGGCAGGCCUAAUACAUGCAAGUCGAACGGCAGCACAGCAGAGCUUGCUCUGUGGGUGGCGAGUGGCGGACGGGUGAGCAAUGCUUGGGAAUCUGCCUAUCAGUGGGGGACAACCCGGGGAAACUCGGGCUAAUACCGCAUACGUUCUUCGGAAGAAAGCGGGGGUCGCAAGACCUCGCGCUGAUAGAUGAGCCCAAGUCGGAUUAGCUAGUUGGUGAGGUAAAGGCUCACCAAGGCGACGAUCCGUAGCUGGUCUGAGAGGACGACCAGCCACACCGGAACUGAGACACGGUCCGGACUCCUACGGGAGGCAGCAGUGGGGAAUAUUGGACAAUGGGCGAAAGCCUGAUCCAGCGACGCCGCGUGGGUGAAGAAGGCCUGCGGGUUGUAAAGCCCUUUCGUUGGGGAAGAAAAGUGUCGACCUAAUACGUCGGCACCUUGACGUUACCCAAAGAAGAAGCACCGGCUAACUCUGUG
rnacentral:rRNA from 1 species